GGCGCAAGCCUGAUCCAGCCAUGCCGCGUGCAGGAUGACGGUCCUAUGGAUUGUAAACUGCUUUUGUACAGGAAGAAACACCUCUACGUGUAGAGACUUGACGGUACUGUAAGAAUAAGGAUCGGCUAACUCCGUGCCAGCAGCCGCGGUAAUACGGAGGAUCCAAGCGUUAUCCGGAAUCAUUGGGUUUAAAGGGUCCGUAGGCGGUCUUAUAAGUCAGUGGUGAAAUCUCCCCGCUCAACGGGGAAACGGCCAUUGAUACUGUAAGACUUGAAUUAUUAGGAAGUAACUAGAAUAUGUAGUGUAGCGGUGAAAUGCUUAGAGAUUACAUGGAAUACCAAUUGCGAAGGCAGGUUACUACUAAUGGAUUGACGCUGAUGGACGAAAGCGUGGGUAGCGAACAGGAUUAGAUACCCUGGUAGUCCACGCCGUAAACGAUGGAUACUAGCUGUUGGGCGCAAGUUCAGUGGCUAAGCGAAAGUGAUAAGUAUCCCACCUGGGGAGUACGUUCGCAAGAAUGAAACUCAAAGGAAUUGACGGGGGCCCGCACAAGCGGUGGAGCAUGUGGUUUAAUUCGAUGACACGCGAGGAACCUUACCAAGGCUUAAAUGUAGAUUGACCGGUUUGGAAACAGACUU
rnacentral:rRNA from 1 species